rnacentral:rRNA from 1 species
AGAGUUUGAUCCUGGCUCAGGAUGAACGCUAGCUACAGGCUUAACACAUGCAAGUCGAGGGGCAGCAUGGGGGUUGCUCGCAACCCCUGAUGGCGACCGGCGCACGGGUGAGUAACGCGUAUCCGACCUUCCCGCGGCAGGGGCAUAACCCGGUGAAAGCCGGACUAAUUCCCCGUGGUCCCCACACAGGCCAUCCUUCGUGGGGUAUAGGACUCGUCCGGCCGCGGACGGGGAUGCGUCCGAUUAGCUAGUUGGCGGGGUAACGGCCCACCAAGGCACCGAUCGGUAGGGGUUCUGAGAGGAAGGCCCCCCACAUUGGGACUGAGACACGGCCCAAACUCCUACGGGAGGCAGCAGUGAGGAAUAUUGGUCAAUGGGCGCGAGCCUGAACCAGCCAAGUAGCGUGGAGGACGACGGCCCUACGGGUUGUAAACUCCUUUUGCGCGGGGAUAAAGUGCGCGACGUGCUCGCGCAUUGCAGGUACCGCGCGAACAAGGACCGGCCAAUUCCGUGCCAGCAGCCGCGGUAAUACGGAAGGUCCGGGUGUUAUCCGGAUUUAUUGGGUUUAAAGGGAGCGCAGACUGCCUGUCAAGCGUGCAGUGAAACGCCGCGGCCCAACCGCGGCCCUGCUGCGCGAACUGGCGGGCUUGAGUGGGCUGGAGGCACGCGGAAUUCGUGGUGUAGCGGUGAAAUGCUCAGAUAUCACGAGGAACCCCGAUUGCGAAGGCAGCGUGCCGCGUCCCUACUGACGUUGAGGCUCGAAGGUGCGGGUAUCGAACAGGAUUAGAUACCCUGGUAGUCCGCACGGUAAACGAUGGAUGCCCGCUCCCGGCGACACACUGCCGGGGGCCAAGCGAAAGCGUUAAGCAUCCCACCUGGGGAGUACGCCGGCAACGGUGAAACUCAAAGGAAUUGACGGGGGCCCGCACAAGCGGAGGAACAUGUGGUUUAAUUCGAUGAUACGCGAGGAACCUUACCCGGGCUUGAACCGCGGGGGAAAGACUCAGAGACGAGGAUGUCCCUCGGGACUCCCGCGGAGGUGCUGCAUGGUUGUCGUCAGCUCGUGCCGUGAGGUGUCGGCUUAAGUGCCAUAACGAGCGCAACCCUUGUUGUCAGUUACUAACAGGUUCUGCUGAGGACUCUGACAAGACUGCCAUCGUAAGAUGUGAGGAAGGUGGGGAUGACGUCAAAUCAGCACGGCCCUUACGUCCGGGGCUACACACGUGUUACAAUGGGGGGCACAGCGUGGCGCGCGUGCGCGAGCACGCGCCAAUCAAUAAAUCCCCCCUCAGUUCGGACUGGGGUCUGCAACCCGACCCCACGAAGCUGGAUUCGCUAGUAAUCGCGCAUCAGCCACGGCGCGGUGAAUACGUUCCCGGGCCUUGUACACACCGCCCGUCAAGCCAUGGGAGCCGGGGGUACCUGAAGUGCGUAACCGCGAGGAGCGCCCUAGGGUAAAACUGGUGACUGGGGCUAAGUCGUAACAAGGUAGCCGUACCGGAAGGUGCGGCUG